CAGCUGCGAUUGUGUUUGUGUUUGUGGAAAGCUCCUGUGAAUCUGAUAUUCCCGUCUGAUCCCUACUGAGGGCUGAUAUCUGUAUUUAUAGAGACACAGACUGGAUUCACUGCAUUCUGUCAGUGUGACUGGGACGUGUGUGAUAUUGCAUUUACCAUCAUGGACCAGAACUGAGAUGGAUUCAUUGACAAGAAUGACCUGAGGGACACGUUUGCAGCUCUAGUGUCUCUCCAGUGUGACUGAGAUGUUGACCACACAAGCCGACCGCUUCUCUGCUGAGGAGAUGGUGCAGAUGGUCACCGCAUUCCCACCACACGCUACGGGAAACCUGGACUACCGCAAUCUGGUCCACAUCAUCACACACGGAGAGGAGAAGGACCAGGAGUAGAUCACACGCUCCUCAGCCAAUCACAGCGCUCCCUGCGUGUCUGUACCCGCCCACUUAUUUAUAACUGACAGGCUUGCUGUUGCUGAAACGAGAAUGUGAUGAUGUUAUGUGGAUUUUUGCACCUGCUACCCGUCAAAGUGUACUUUUAAAAUACAUUUAUAUGAAAA